rnacentral:rRNA from 1 species
UACACUCCUGCGGGAGGCAGCAGUGGGGAAUUUUGGACAAUGGGCGAAAGCCUGAUCCAGCAAUGCCGCGUGUGUGAAGAAGGCCUUCGGGUUGUAAAGCACUUUUGUCCGGAAAGAAAUCAUUGGCUCUAAUACAGUCGGGGGAUGACGGUACCGGCAGAAUAAGCACCGGCUAACUACGUGCCAGCAGCCGCGGUAAUACGUAGGGUGCGAGCGUUAAUCGGAAUUACUGGGCGUAAAGCGUGCGCAGGCGGUUUGCUAAGACCGAUGUGAAAUCCCCGGGCUCAACCUGGGAACUGCAGUGGUGACUGGCAGGCUAGAGUAUGGCAGAGGGGGGUAGAAUUCCACGUGUAGCAGUGAAAUGCGUAGCGAUGUGGAGGAAUACCGAUGGCGAAGGCAGCCCCCUGGGCCAAUACUGACGCUCAUGCACGAAAGCGUGGGGAGCAAACAGGAUUAGAAACCCCAGUAGUCCCAUG